UACGGGGGGGGCAAGCGUUGUUCGGAAUUACUGGGCGUAAAGGGCGCGUAGGCGGCUUUUCAAGUCGGGCGUGAAAUCUCCGGGCUUAACCUGGAAGGGUCGUUCGAUACUGUCGAGCUAGAGUGUGGAAGAGGCUACUGGAAUUCCGUGUGUAGCGGUGAAAUGCGCAGAUAUCAGGAGGAACACCGGUGGCGAAGGCGGCUUUCUGGGCCUUACCUGACGCUGAGGAGCGAAAGCUGGGGGAGCGAACAGG
rnacentral:rRNA from 1 species